rnacentral:pre_miRNA from 1 species
UUUGACUCUUUGUCUUAUUUAAAAUUUUUUUGUGAUUAAUAUUUUGAUUGUUACUAGAUGAUAAAACAUGAAUAAAACUUUAUGCGUGACUAAUUUCUUUAAAUUUUUUAUAAUCUUUUCAAAGAAGAUAAAUGGUCAAA